UGACGUUAUUCGAUCCAUGACAUAAUUUGAAAUUACAUAUUUAAAUCGAGUCUAAGUAAAUCAUUAAAAUAAUUCUCGAAGAAAAAAUAUAUUGAUAAAAACAAACAUGUUUACGCCUCAAGCGGAAUAGUGGCCCUACAAAGCGAAUUUUAAGUGUGCUAUUAUUGGUACUAAUUAUUUAAUAAAACAAAUUAAACAAGAUUAAUUUUUGAUAUGUUGUAUCACUUGUAUCCUAUAUAUUUCUGAUAAUUAAAGAAACAUAUAACUUAAACCCAUAAAUGAAGGAUUAAAACAUGCUUAAAACGAUUUUGAUCAUUAGAGAAACAUAGCCAAAAAAAAAAACUUAGUUCUCUUCUAUUCACCCUUCAUCGAUAUAUAUGAUAUCAAAAAAACAUGUAUCUGAUAUCAUAUAUGCACUAAUAUAUUCAAGAAAUAAGAAGAUAUACAGUUCAGAUGGCCUAAUCUUUUUCGAAUCCAACAAGUGCUAUCAGAGCACAUGGUUCAAUGAUUUAAUGAAACAAAGUUAAAGAUGUCAUAUCCUGAGCAUGACUAGCACUCGAGAACCAUCGUUGGUCCACAAGCUAACCGUUUGUCCGGCUCAAUACUCAGUGAAAAAGUUACUCAUCGAAAUAAGAACUCAAAACAGUCUAACUCUAUUGUCUCAAACAAUUAACUCAAAAUAUUUAUUAUUUCUCUAUUUGUCAUAAGAAGGCAACUCAAGUCUUAAGCAUUACUAAAGGAAAUGGAAAAGACUCUUCAAAAUACUACUAUCUAUGAAGCCUCUAAUAACUAUGAUAAAAGUCGGGACAAGAUACACAACAUCCUAACAAGAUUGAAAGUAAAUGUGGAACCCUCCGAAAGCAAGAAGGUUUAUUGAAGCUAAUUGAGACUGCGGGUGAUAUUAACGGAGCACAUGUUGAUGACCCUAAAUAUCUAUAUCUGCAUCAUGAAAAAAAGCAGGUCAAAAGCACCACUACAUUAAAUGUAUGAGCAUGUAAGUGAAACACUGAAAAUCAACAUACAACUUGAAUUGAUAGAAAGAAAGACAUACUAACCUCAUUUUAACUCAA